GGCUUCCUACGGGGGGCAGCAGUAGGGAAUCUUCCACAAUGGGCGAAAGCCUGAUGGAGCAACGCCGCGUGGGUGAAGAAGGUCUUCGGAUCGUAAAACCCUGUUGUUAGAGAAGAAAGUGCGUGAGAGUAACUGUUCACGUUUCGACGGUAUCUAACCAGAAAGCCACGGCUAACUACGUGCCAGCAGCCGCGGUAAUACGUAGGUGGCAAGCGUUAUCCGGAUUUAUUGGGCGUAAAGGGAACGCAGGCGGUCUUUUAAGUCUGAUGUGAAAGCCAUCGGCUCAACCGAUGUAAGCUUUGGAA
rnacentral:rRNA from 1 species